AAAGAGAUAUCUCUUUGGCAAUGUAUACAAUGUAUACAAUGCCCUGUGGCAGAGAAAGCGAUCUCCUCUUCCAGAGUUCAAUUAUUUGUCAAGCAAUCAUUUUACUCUUCCAACAACUACUGCAUAAAUGGGAAAACGAAACCGAUUUUGUUUUGUUCUCCGCGCUCCCAGCACCAGGUGGAACCACGCGCGGCGCUUCCGAUCUCGGAGGAUGUAACAAGACGAGCGGUUGACGAAGCUGCAUUGUGUAGCCAGCCGGUUUAUCUUUUUAUGUUGUACAGUUUGUUAGUUUACCGUAAAUAUGUCUUGAUUUGUACUCAAGAGUGGAGCAAGGCCCUAUGGAACAGAGAUUGACGCAUCGUGAGCGAAGAACAGACGCGAUGGAUGGUUAGGCUGCUUGACUCUCGGCUGUACGACUCUCGGCAUGUUAGGACUGGCAAAGUUCCGAAUUUGUCGCGGUGUGGUGUACGCUUCUGUGCUCGUCAAGUGCCGUCAGAGCGCGGGGAUGUUUGAACGGAAUGUGUCCCUUCGUCUACAAAACUCUGCACGCUGCGGCAUCGAAGUCCUGUGUACGGGUGCACGUAUGCGCUUGGAUACGGGAUAGCCUGCCCUCAACGGAUGUUCAACAGUGUACGCACGCUGCGCGUACGCGUACGUAUGAGACUAGUUGCUGGUGUCCUGCUGGAGCUGAGAAGAGAUCUGCUGCCUGCCAUGAGACCAUGUCUCUCAAGUUACCGCAAUAUUGUUGCCUUCAAACCUGUCGAGACAAGGUUUCUGUACAUGGCCAUGGCGCUCAAGGAAGAAACCGAGACUGUAGACUGCCAACGUUCAUUCCUGUUCCGGCAAAGACGGGCCAGCAGUGACCAGCAGGAUUUUACAAAGUGAACUCAUCACAGCUUGAGCCACUCCAUGCCACAAGCAGUUGCUCCUCGAGCCACCGUGCAAAGGUUCCUUGGGGCACAAGUCCAACUCAGCGCCACAACCUUUCUUCUGCAGUUUUUCUACCUACUUAGCUAACCAGCAGCAAGUUUAUCCUUGCAAGGCAUGUGGGAACAGCUUUCACCAGGAAAAGUGCAAGACGAGUGGUCGAAGAAAAUAAAAUUGCUUCUGUGAUCUAAAGUACUUGACGAAUAAAAUUUUGCACUUAUUUGUAUAUAUGUCGUGCAAUUCAUUCAUAUCACAAAAAGCAAAGUGUUUGAUCUUUUGAGCUAUUUCAAUGUGUUGGCCAGACAGUUUUCUCCAUAGCGACCUGCUGCUUCUGCAAUGAGCUGCAUUCAUGACAUUUGCAUUAAAGGAUAUGUACUAUCGGGGACAAAAGUGCCCAGGACGUGCGAGUGUCGACCAAAUUGCAUCUCUGCACUAUCAGCCGCUAUCAUCUGCGUUGCAGACCACUUUCCGAAUGCAAAUGUUAGCGUGGCUGAUCCCAGCAGAAAGUGCACCAUUAAAAUUCGGUCGUCAUUCGCACAUUUUGGGCACUUCUGUCCCCAAUAGUACAUUCUCUAAAUAAUCAAUAUGCUCUGUAAAACAUAAUGCAUGAAACACCUCUAUUUUAACGAUUGGACCGUAUAGUACAGAUUUAGCAUACGGAGCCUUUUUAUUUCUGAGUACGGAAACACCUGUAUGUUAACGGUUGGACCGUAUAGUAGAGAUUCAGCAUACAGAGUCUUUUGUUUUCUGGAUACAGAAACACCUGUAUUUUAACGGUUGGACCGUAUAGUACAAAUUCAGCCUACGGAGCCUUUCGUUUCCUGGAUACGAAAAUACCUGUAUUUUAACGGUUGGACCGUAUACUACAGAUUCAAUAUACAGCGCCUUCCGUUUUCUGAAUACGGAAAGCACCUGUACAUUAACGGUCGAACCAUACGAUUCAGC